UUUGAAGCGUCUAUGAUAAACAGAGAGCAAAUUAGAAUCCAAGGAAGUUGACAUGUCAUCACUUCAUUUUUUUGCGCCUGCGCAUAAAUCUGAGAAGCGUGAGUUUGUCAUCAUUGUUUAUCUAGACAUAGGAUAGGUUGUGUGAAAAUAUUACUGAUGUUUAACGUUAAAAAUGGACCAAAAGAUUAAUGCUAAACAACAUUUGACAUGUUUGAACGAAAAUAAAUAGAUUAUUUACUAGGUUUUUUUAGCUUUUCGGCGUGAUUUUACACUCCCCCCACCACGUUUUGAGGGAGCAUAAUGAACGCUAAGUACUUGGUGUUAUUUGGACAUAAAUUAUGAACUUUGUCAAAAGAAACCACAUUUGUUCCGGACCUGGGAUGCCUUCCGGACCUGGGAUGCCUGCCUUCUGAUGGAGAUAAUCAAAGGCCCACCUCUCUCCCCCGUCUCAUCGAUGGCCAACCGACGUACACGGUGAGGCGUCUCCUGAAGGUUCGACCUCGGGAAAGGGAAUUCCAGUACGUGGUUGACUGGGAGGGUUAUGUCCUGGAGGAGAGGUGCUGGGUCCCGGCUAGGGACAUCCUGGACACAGGCCUCAUUGCUGAUUUCCAAUGCCGGCUCCCCGGUCAACCAGGAACCGUGGAUUGAUGGCGGCAUUUGUGCAAAACUGAAAGCAUGAACCACCACAUUUACCAUGGAAAGAUGACCAGGAAAAUGGCUGAAUAUUAACACUGUAGUUAUUCCCUCCGCAAGUUAAUCAACCAAGCAAAAUGUCAGUAUACUGACAAAGUGGAGUCGCAAUACAACGGCUCAGACACAAGACGUAUGUGGCAGUGUCUACAGACAAUCACGGACUACAAAAAGAAAAUCAGCCAAGUCACGGACACCGACGUCUUGCUUCCAGACAAACUAAAAACAUUCUUUGCCUGCUUUGAGGAUAAAACAGUGUCACCGACGCGGCCUGCUACCAAGGACUGUGGGCUCUCCUUCUCCGUGGCCGACGUGAGUAAGACAUUUAAACGUGGUAACCCUUGCAAGGCUGCCGGCCCCAAACAACAUCCCUAGCCACCUCCACAGAGUAUGCGCAGACCAGCUGGCUGGUGUGUUUACGGACAUAUUCAAUCCCAGUCUGCUGUCCCCACAUGCUUCAAGAUGGCCACCAUUGUUCCUGUAUCCAAGAAGGCAAAGGUAACUGAAGUGAAUGACUAUCGCCCCAUAGCACUCACUUCUGUCAUCAUGAAGUGCUUUGAGAGACUAGUCAAGGAUCAUAUCACCUCCACCUUACCAGUCACCCUAGACCCACUGCAAUUUGCAUACCACCCAAUAGGUCCACAGACGUCCAUUGCCAUCACACUGCACACUGCCCUAUCCCAUCUGGAGAAGAGGAAUACCUAUGUAAGAAUGCUGUUCAUUGACUACAGCUCAGCAUUCAACACCAUAGUACCCUCCAAGCUCAUCAUUAAGCUUGAAGCCCUGGGUUUCAACCCCGCCCUGUGCGAUUGGGUCCUGGACUUCCUGACAGGCAGCAUCUCCACUUCUCUGAUCCUCAACAUUGGGGCCACACAAGGGUGCGUAGUCAGCCCCCUCCUGUCCUCUCUAUUCACCCGUGAUUGCGUAGCCAUGCAACGACCAACAACGACGAGACAGCCUUUAGGGAGGAGGUGAGGGCAUUCGGAGCGUGGUGUCAAGAAAACAGCCUCUCAUUUAACGUCAACAAAACAAAGGAGAUGAUUGUGGACUACAGGAAACAGCAGAGGGGAGCACCCCCCUAUUCACAUCGAAGUGGAGAAGGUGGAAAGUUUUAAGUUCCUCAGCGUACACAUCACAGACAAACUGAAAUGCUACACCCACACAGACAAUGUGGUGAAGAAGGCGCAACAGCACCUCUUCAACCUCAGGAGGCUGAAGAAAUUUGACUUGUUACCUAAAACCCUCACAAACUUUUACAGAUGCAUAAUUGAGAGCAUCCUGUCGGGCUGUAUCACCGCCUGGUACGGCAACUGGUACGGCAACUGCACCGCCCACAACCGCAGGGCACUCCAGAUGGUGGUGAGGUCUGCACAACGCAUCACUGGGGACAAACUACCUGCCCUCCAGGACACCUACAGCACCCGAUGUCACAGGAAGGCCAAAAAGAUCAUCAAUAACAACAACCACCCGAGCCACUGCCUGUUCACCCUGCUACAAUCCAGAAGGCGAGGUCAGUACAGGUACAUCAAAGUUGGGACCGAGAGACUGAAAAAUUGCUUCUAUCUCAAGGCCAUCAGACUGUUAAACAUCCAUCACUAACACAGAGAGGCUGCUGCCUACAUACAGACUUGAAAUCAUUGGCCACUUUAACAAAUGGAAUACGAGUCACUUUAUUAAUGCCACUUUAAUAAUGAUGUUUAGGUAUCUUGCAUUACUCACCCCAUAUGUACUGUAUUUUAUACCAUCUAUUGCAUCUUUCCUAUGACGGUCGGUCAUUGCUCAUCCAUAUAUUUACCUGUAUAUAUUCUUAAUCCAUCCCUUUACUUAGAUUUGUGUGUAUUAGGUAGUUGUUGUGGAAUUGAUAGAUUACUUGUUAGAUAUUGCUGCACUGUCGGAACUAGAAGCACAUGCAUUUUGCUACACUCGCAAUAACAUCUGCUAAUCAUGUGUAUGUGACCAAUACAAUUUGAUUUGAUUAGUGUCUGAAGAAAUUUUAUAGAGUUAUAUUUUUAAUAUUUGUUUUGAUGUGUCACUUAUGGGCAGUGCUAAAUUUGUAAAUCAGGAGGUGUCGGGAAUAAGUGAAAGAAAAUAAAUGAAAGACAAAACAGUACAUAUAAAAAACUGGUAUAAACUGUGUGCAGGUGAGGUUAGAAGCCCAAAAGAUGCUUUAAAAACUAUACCACAAAUAAUUAUAUUAAUUAUAAUUGUAUAGGAUAUGCUCAGUAAACAAGAAAAAACAUGUUUGAUUAUGUGUGCAUGUAGUGGCGGAUUUAGGCAUAGGCGACAUGGGCAGUUGCCCAGGGCUGCAUUUUGUCGGGGGCGGCAUGGGGAGCAAUCACAAAAUAAAUAAAAAAUAAAAUAAAAAGAAAUAUAUAUAUUCCGAAUGGUGACAUUUGCAUGAUCAGUUUUCUAUCGCUCAUUUGCACGUCACGUCAAUGAUAUCAUGUCACCGUGUAGGACUGUGGGUCAAUUAACCUUGUCGGAGUGGGUGCCCUGAUUCUAGUUUGUGAGCUAGGUAGGCUACUGCCUGGGAAGGUCUCCCACUCGGAAGUAUGAGAUGGGGAGGGGGCGGGGGUAGGUUGACCUCAGGUCUCCCCACUGAAGCCCGAGGUAGGGGGAGAAGAGAAAUCUAUUAAAUAGCGCACCUCUAACUUUGUACAGUACUAAUGCAAUUUAGUUUGUGUGUUUCUUGUGUGAAGUGCAAUAGUGUAAUAAUCAGGUACUCUUCUUCAUAAGUGUGUUAUUCUAUUUGUGUGAUAUAGGAUUUGUGCAAUUUAGUUUUAUUUGUGUAUUGUUAGGGUAAUAGUGUAAUAAUUCAAUAAAAACUACAAUUUGUUUCUAUUUAGCUUUCUUACUUUUUGAUAUUUAUGAGUCUUUAAUUUUGUAUUUAUAUUUAUAUAGUUUAAAAUGUUAUGACUAUUUAUUUGUGUUGUUCCAAAUGUCUGAAUAAAAAUUAGUUAGUGCAGAAUGGUGCUUUUUUGGAGGG
rnacentral:lncRNA from 1 species